rnacentral:rRNA from 1 species
UACGUAGGGUGCGAGCGUUGUUCGGAUUUACUGGGCGUAAAGGGCGCGUAGGCGGCGUGACAAGUCACUUGUGAAAUCUCCGGGCUUAACCCGGAGCGGCCAAGUGAUACUGUCGUGCUAGAGUGCGGAAGGGGCUACUGGAAUUCUCGGUGUAGCGGUGAAAUGCGUAGAUAUCGAGAGGAACACCUGCGGCGAAGGCGGGUAGCUGGGCCGACACUGACGCUGAGGCGCGAAAGCGUGGGGAGCAAACAGG